UUCUCCUGUGUGAACUGAGAAGGAGAGUCAAGAGGUGUGGAGCAGUGGAUGGAAGUGAUGGGAAUAGUGAAGUGACACAGGGGUGAAGAGGGACACCGGUGUUCGGGUGUUGAGAGAGAGAUGGAGGAGUCCAACGGGGAGGAGAAGCAGAGGUGAUGGCUGCGCUCCAGAGCGUGGGGGAGAGGGGUGAGAAGAGUCGUGAAGGAGCAGCUUAGCCAGAGACUUCACGGGCUCAUAGGCGAACUCGAGCCGUACGAGCGAUCGGCUGGGUCACGAUCCGCACCUGCUUCCGGCUGCGCCUCCGUGCCCUGAGCAGAGGUGGUCUAGUCGCCGGUACCGUUAGCACGUAGGCUUCGAGGCGCCGGGCCGUGGUACGGAAGGAGAGACAGAGCGAGCGGGCUGCGAACCUCGCAGACGAGCAGCAGCCGAGAGUGGUGGGACACGCACGCCGACACGACACGGGCCGGGACGGGUCCACGCCUUUAUCACGGCACCACCGACCAGGGGACGUUGACGUUCGGCUGCGGUUAAUUACUAGAUAAGGGGUGAGGUCGAAAGUAUAGACGAAUCAAGACUAAACUCCAUGAGGGGUAAGGGGCGAAAACGAUUAAGGAAAAAAACCGCUUUGUGAAAACGAUUAAGGAUCAACGAUAAGUAGUGACACAUCAUGUAUGCAUCGAGUCAUAGAAUCCAAAUUCGUACUCUAAGCAAAAUCUUAGCCGCUCUUUUUUUAUCUUCAGCCUCAUUCAACAAGCUAAUCUGCAAGAAUUGAAACAACGUUGUCGACAAUACUCACCUCUAAGAUCAGCCAAUUAUAAGAACUCCGUUGGUACGACAGUAUUUCAACUAACUAAUCACCUAUACUUAAGACCCACCGAUCCCCGUGACACUCCUCGAUCCCUGGUUCUGUCUGCUCCAACUAAACCGAACUAGGACGGUUUCUUUAAAUGAAGAAGACUUUUCUGCCUUCGUACAAAAGUCUUUCAAGUACCAAUUGAAAGGUUUAGGCUCUAAAUAUCGUUUCGUUUCUCUGUCCAACUUCUUACUUAUUAACUAUAUCGUGUUGGAAGAUCUACUUCACGAAAACGUCCGAAUGUUACUUACCUAUAACUUCUGGUACCUUCUCAGGAGCUUAAACAACGUAGUAUUUAACAACCUUGAGACCUUAUUUGUCUUUCUACACUUACCCCUCCGUAUGGACGGACGCUAUAUGUGGUUGGGUUUCGAAAACUCGCAACAUGUUUUCUUCAUGAACUGUCCAAAUGAAGUACUAUCAGAGCCUAAAACAAGCCAGUCUUAGUAGUCCUUCCGAAAAUCCACUCCAGUUAAUAUAUGACUUCUCGUACGUGGACACAACCGCUGCUCGAGCAGUCGCGUCGGCACCUGCCCGCGGAGCCGCCAACGUGUACACUCCCGCUUCUCGAGCAGCAACACCGGCAGCAGUCCACUGAGCCGCCUACGUGAACACGAUCGCUUCUUGUGCAGCAGCGCCAGUAGCAGGCUACGGAGCCGCAGACACGUCCCGUCGCUCGUUACUACCGCGUGCAGUUCGGCCUACGGACCUAACUAAGGGGGGAUUAAAUCGUCUAAAGAAAAACAUAUCAGCUCGUUCAGGUACGCUUAACCUGCACGACAAAGGAACACGCCCGUACCCUAGGCAUUAUUUCACCGUAUAACACGCCGCCGAAGAAACGCACUCCAUCUACCACCCUCUUCAUCCUGCACCCGCAGACGGGAUCUUCUUGUAAAUUAGGACUCGCAACUAACCACACCAUCUGGAAACUACAUUAUAUCUUGUAACCUACACUAAAUCACCCUAACUAGUUUACAGAGACCAUGAAGACACAUGUGAAACACCACACUGAAACCCUCCUAAGUACAAAAGAGAAAAUUAUCAUUAUAUCUCGCUU
rnacentral:rRNA from 1 species